UACGUAGGGUGCAAGCGUUGUCCGGAAUUGUUGGGCGUAAAGAGCUCGUAGGCGGUCUGUUGCGUCGGCUGUGAAAACCCGAGGCUCAACCUCGGGCCUGCAGCCGAUACGGGCAGACUAGAGUGUGGUAGGGGAGACUGGAAUUCCUGGUGUAGCGGUGAAAUGCGCAGAUAUCAGGAGGAACACCGAUGGCGAAGGCAGGUCUCUGGGCCAUAACUGACGCUGAGAAGCGAAAGCAUGGGGAGCGAACAGG
rnacentral:rRNA from 1 species